UGGGGGAAAUUGGAGCUCAAGAUUAUUUAAACUCAGCGGUACUCCGAGCUGUUGAAGCUUGUUUAGGAUUACUGCUUCCAAUUUUAGCUUACUGCCUUCUUCCUCCAUACAGGAAAUUUAGUUCCCAACCAGACAGUAGUGAUUUAUACCAGAGUAAGAGAGAUAUAUACAGGCAAAGCUUAACACCUGGAGAACGAUUAAGCCAAGUUAGUAUGGAUUCAGUUUAGAAAAAGAAGAUUUAUACAUACUAUGUUCAAGAAUCUUGUAAUAAACAUCAAUAGUUUUUAA